ensembl:lncRNA
GUUCGUAGUGUGUCAUGUUUUGGUGAGAUCUGAGCAUUUCUAAUGAACACCUUACGGUGAGCUCAAGUUUGCAAUAUUUAAUAGCCCUCCACUCUGAAGACUACAGUCAUGAUAAGGAGCCCUCCAUUGAUGCGUUUCCUGUUUUUAUCAGGAAUGUGUUGUCUCACUGCAAAAACAUCUACAGAAACAUCUAUUGCUGCACCUAUCCAAAACACUACAGCAAACCCUGGACCAACUACAUUCAGAACCACAGAGCAAGUUACAAUUGGACCGUUAACUACUGAAUACCCAACAUCUGAUCAACCAUCUACUGCAUCAAAUGCAGUCAUACAUGGAGAAAAUAUAAACUUAACAUCUGCACCAGCUACAUCUACAGAGCAAAGUUCAGCCGGAGAUUUCUCUACCAGACUCAUAAUAUCCGACCUGUCCACUUCUCCACCUGUUCAAAAAACAACUACACUCAAUAACACAGCAGAUGUUUCUACUGGACAGCUGACCUCUGACCAAGCUACUACAAGAACUAUUCCAAACACCCAGACAACAUCUGUACCAACUACAUCUAUCAUUAAUACCACAGAACACGUUGCAACUGAACAGUUAAAAACUGAAGUCUCAACAGCUAACCAAGCAACUCCUGUAACUAUUCAAAGCACCCCCUCAACAGCUGUACUAGCUACAUCAACAAUUACUACCACAGAGCAAAUUUCAACAGGACAUUUAACUAUUGGAAUCUCAGCUACUAACCAAGCAACUUCUGUACCUGUUCAAAACACCACCUCAACUCCUGUACAAACUACAUUCAAUGCCGCUGAGAGUGUUUCUACUGGACAGCUGAGCUCUGACCAAAAACCUACUACAAUUGUUCAAAACCCCUUCUCAACAUCUGUACAAACUACAUUAUCCAUUAAUAACACAGAACCUGUUACAACUGAACAGUUAACUACUGGAAUCUCAACCACUAACCAAGCAACUUCUGUACUUGUUCAAAACACCACCACAACUCCUGUACAAACUACAUUCAAAGCAACAGAGUAUGUUUCUAGUGGAAAGUUGAGCUCUAACCAAACUAUUACUACAAUUGUUCAAAACACCCCAACAAGUUCAAUAGCCAUUCAAGGAAGUACUGAAUAUUUUCAAAACACCACUUCAACUCCUGUACAAACUACAUUCAAUAACCCUGAGCAAGUUUCAACUGGACAGCUGACCUCUAACCAAGUGGCUACUAUAUUUGUUCAAAACACCUUCACAUCUGUACCAACGAAAUCUACCAUUAAUACCACAGAACAUGUUUCAACAGAACAGUUAUCUACUGGAAUCUCAACUACAAACCAAGCAACUUCUGUACCUGUUCAAAACACCACCUCAACUCCUGUACAAACUACAUUUAAGGUUACUGCGUUUGUUUCUACUAUACAGCUGAGCUCUGACCAAGCAACUGCUGGAACUGUUGAAAACGCCCCCUCAUCUCCUGUACAAUCUACAUUCAAUUCCACUGAGAUUUUUACUACUGGACAGAUAACAUCUCUCCAAGCUACUGCAAGAACUGUUCAAAACACACCGACAACAUCUGUACCAACUACAUCUAUCAGUAACACCAUAGAGCAUGUUUUAACAGAACUGUUAACUACUGAAAACCCAACAGCCAGUCAAGGAAGUACAGUACCUGUUCAAAACACACCUUCUACUCCCUUACUAACUAUAUUCAAUAAUACUGAGCCUGGUUCUACUGGACAGCUGACUUCUGAUCAAGCAGCUACUACAGUUGUUCAAGACACCUUUUCAGCAUCAGUACCAAGAACUGUCAAUACCACUGAGCUUGUUACUACUGGACAGAUAACAUCUUUCCAAGCUACUACAAGAACUGUUCAAAACAACCCAAACACAUCUGUACCAACUACAUCAAUACUUAAAACCACAGAACAUGUUUCAACAGAACAGUUAACUAUUGGAAUCUCAACUAAUAACCAAGCAACUGCUGUACCUGUUCAAAACACCACCUCAACUCCUGUACAAACUGGAUUCAAUGCAACUGAGAGUGUUUCUACUGGACAGCUGAGCUCUGACCAACUAGCCACUACAAUUGUUCAAAACCCCUUCUCAACAUCUGUACCAUCUAUAUCAACACUUAAUACCAAAGAACAUGUUUCAACAGAACAGUUAUCUACUGGAAUCUCAACUACUAACCAAGCAACUUCUGUACCUGUUCAAAAC